rnacentral:rRNA from 1 species
UACGUAGGGUGCGAGCGUUAAUCGGAAUUACUGGGCGUAAAGCGUGCGCAGGCGGUUCGUUAAGACAGAUGUGAAAUCCCCGGGCUUAACCUGGGAACUGCAUUUGUGACUGGCGAGCUAGAGUAUGGCAGAGGGGGGUAGAAUUCCACGUGUAGCAGUGAAAUGCGUAAGAGUAUGGUGAGGAACACCGAUGGCGAAGGCAGCCCCCUGGGUCAAGACUGACGCUCAUGCACGAAAGCGUGGGGAGCAAACAGG